UACGUAGGGGGCAAGCGUUGUCCGGAAUUAUUGGGCGUAAAGAGCGUGUAGGCGGUCCGGUAAGUCGGCUGUGAAAGUCCAGGGCUCAACCCUGGGAUGCCGGUCGAUACUGCCGGACUAGAGUUCGGAAGAGGCGAGAGGAAUUCCCGGUGUAGCGGUGAAAUGCGCAGAUAUCGGGAGGAACACCUAUGGCGAAGGCAGCUCGCUGGGACGUUACUGACGCUGAGACGCGAAAGCGUGGGGAGCAAACAGG
rnacentral:rRNA from 1 species